AGCGCCGAGUGACGGGCUCCCGGGUGCGGGGGGCUGCGGAGCUCCGAGGGGCCGGGCGGGGGCUGUCAGCCCCCCGCAGUGCCCCGAGGGGACCCCCGCAGCCAGGGCCGGCCCCGCGGGCUCCCGGCCGGAGCGCCGCACGCCGCCGCGCAUUCCCCGGAGCGCCCGCGCUCCGUGACCCCGCCGCGGGGCCGGUCCCGGGCCUGCGCCCCGCCGUCUUCAGCGCGGGUCCGUGUGCCGUAAGAAGGCAGCAAGGAGGAGGAGAGGGUGAAGGGCUUCCAGAGGGGCCGCGUGGGAAGGGACGCGAGGAGCCGAGCUGUCGCUGCGCGGUGGGAACGCGGUGCGUGGAUCGGCCAGGGCCUGACCAAAAGAGGCAAGCCUCGUAGCACCGGGAUGAGGGGAGAUGAGGGGAGUCCCUUCCCAGGGAGCAGAGGCACCAGCUGUCACCCAGGAAUCACAGACGUGAUCCCUGGAAGGGCGCUGCAUCCCUGCAAAGUGAAGUGACUGCAAGAACCGGGAAAAUAUCCUUGUUUCCAUCAAGACAAGGAAGCAAUCUCUAUUCUUUGUUUGUGAAAACUGCACUCUUGUACCUUUUCUAGUGCUCCAGGACAUCCUGCUGCUGUUAGAAAGUUAUUUAGAAGAGCUGUUCCUCUCUUUUCUGUGUGUCACAGUGAGCACAGCAUAUUCUGGGCAGCUGGAAGAUUAAGGAACUGCCUCUAAGGCAGAAAGCAAACUUCACCCGUAUUGAACAGAGCAGAACUUCCCAAAAGCCAGUUGAGUGCACUGGAACAAAGUUAAUAUAUAAUUAAUAGCCCAAAUGUGUUGUUAUGCAUUUUAAUAUAGUUCGUGUCGAUACAGUUCAAAAUGCUGGUCAUGAUUCUGUAGAAACUACUUCCUCAGCAUCAGAAAAAUACAGUUUGUAAUUUUUAAAAUUGUGUCUGGCUCCACAAGCCUGAAAAUUUCUAAGCAAGCAGCCACAAAAUAUAAAGACCAGAAUUUACAUAUUUGGAUAAGCUACAUUUCUCAUAUUAAAUUGCUCUCACAUGUAAAAGGCUUUUAAA